CAGCCAAUCAGUGUGGCUGUAGCGCCGCCUGCUGGUGAGAGACAGAAACAGCAGGAGACGUGCCAGAGAGAGAAGAGUCGAGGCAACAAGGAGAGGAGGAGAUAAGAGUAAAGACACAGUAAACAGCAGGCCAGGUGCUAGCUGUGGGGAUCGUUUGGUGUUUGUACAUCGGAAGAUGGAGAACGAAGAUGGUGAACCAUCCGUAGGAGAAAUGGUGUUGGAUAGACGUCUGCUUCCACACAGCCAACCUGCACUCCAAGGAUAAAGACAAUGAAUCAUGUUCUGCAGACAGUCUUUAC